rnacentral:rRNA from 1 species
GAACGUAGCGAAAUGCGAUACUUGGUGUGAAUUGCAGAAUCCCGCGAACCAUCGAGUCUUUGAACGCAAGUUGCGCCCGAGGCCCCCCGGCCGAGGGCACGCCUGCCUGGGCGUCACGCCUCGCGUCGCUCCGCGCGCCCCGCCCGCGGGCCGGCGCGCGGACGCGGAUACUGGCCCCCCGG